UCGAGAAUUUUCCUCAAUGGGGGAAACCCUGAAGGAGCGACGCCGCGUGGGGGAUGAAGGGCUUCGGCUCGUAAACCCCUGUCAAGUGUGAGCAAAGUUGAGUGUUGAACAGGCAUUCAAUUGAUAGUAGCAAAAGAGGAAGGGACGGCUAACUCUGUGCCAGCAGCCGCGGUAAUACAGAGGUCCCAAGCGUUGUUCGGAAUCACUGGGCGUAAAGGGUGCGUAGGCGGUAUGGUAAGACUCGGGUGAAAGCUCUGUGCUCAACGCAGAGACUGCCUGGGAGACUGCCGUACUAGAGGAUUGGAGGGGAGACUGGAAUUCUUGGAGUAGCAGUGAAAUGCGUAGAUAUCAAGAGGAAGACCAGUGGCGAAGGCGAGUCUCUGGACAAAACCUGACGCUGAGGCACGAAAGCCAGGGGAUCAAACG
rnacentral:rRNA from 1 species